rnacentral:rRNA from 1 species
GAUGAACGCUGGCGGCGUGCCUAACACAUGCAAGUCGAACGGAAAGGCGCUGCUUUUGCGGGGUGCUCGAGUGGCGAACGGGUGAGUAACACGUGAGUAUACCGCCCCUGUCUUUGGGAUAUCUUCAGGAAAAUGGGGCUAAUACAGGAUAGGAGCUCCUGCUGCAUGGGGGGGGUUGGAAAGAUUCGGCUGUUGUGGCUCGACUCGCGGCUUAUCAGCUUGUUGGUGGGGUAGUGGCGUAACAAGCCUACGAAGGGUAGGCUGCCUGAGAGGGUGAUCGGCGACCCUGGAGCUGAGACACGGUCCAGACUCCUACGGUAGGCAGCAGUCGGGAACCUUCCGCAGUGGGCGAAAGCAUGACGGAGCGACGCCGAGCGAGUGAUGAAGGUCUCCGGAUCGUAAAGCCCGGUUACUGGUGAAGAACAACUUUGUACUUAGCCAUGGAGUGAGUGACGGUACCUAGUAAGAAAGCAACGGCUAACUACGUG